GAUGAACGCUAGCUACAGGCUUAACACAUGCAAGUCGAGGGGCAGCAUGGUCUUAGCUUGCUAAGGCCGAUGGCGACCGGCGCACGGGUGAGUAACACGUAUCCAACCUCCCGUCUACUCUUGGACAGCCUUCUGAAAGGAAGAUUAAUACAAGAUGGCAUCAUGAGUUCACAUGUUCACAUGAUUAAAGGUAUUCCGGUAGACGAUGGGGAUGCGUUCCAUUAGAUAGUAGGCGGGGUAACGGCCCACCUAGUCUUCGAUGGAUAGGGGUUCUGAGAGGAAGGUCCCCCACAUUGGAACUGAGACACGGUCCAAACUCCUACGGGAGGCAGCAGUGAGGAAUAUUGGUCAAUGGGCGAGAGCCUGAACCAGCCAAGUAGCGUGAAGGAUGACUGCCCUAUGGGUUGUAAACUUCUUUUAUAAAGGAAUAAAGUCGGGUAUGUAUACCCGUCUGCAUGUACUUUAUGAAUAAGGAUCGGCUAACUCCGUG
rnacentral:rRNA from 1 species